AUUGAACGCUGGCGGCAGGCCUAACACAUGCAAGUCGAACGAGUGGCGGACGGGUGAGUACUGUCUGGGAAACUGCCUGAUGGAGGGGUAUAACUACUGGAAACGGUAGCUAAUACCGCAUACCAUCGGAUGUGCCCAGAUGGGAUUAGCUAGUAGGUGGGGUAAAGGCUCACCUAGGCGACGAUCCCUAGCUGGUCUGAGAGGAUGACCAGCCACCCGGGAACUGAGACAUGGUCUAGACUCCUACGGGAGGCAGCAGUGGGAAAUAUUGGACAAUGGGGGCAGGCCUGAUGCAGCCAAGGCGCGUGUAUGAAGAAGGCCUUCGGGUUGGAAAGUCAUAUCAGCGGGGGGGCGUUACCCGCAGAAGAAGCACCGGCUAACGCAGUGCCAGCAGCCGCGGUAAUAC
rnacentral:rRNA from 1 species